UGAGUUGUUAAAGCAGAAUCUCAAUCUACAACCAAAGGUAAAUACGAGGAAGUAAAUGGCGGAGCUUCAUCCAUGUGACGCUCACACACGCUGUAAACUGUGGGGCAUUGACUCCUGGAUAGGGUGAGAGUGAGAGAGGAAACUUUACCUGCCCUUGUGAUGGUAAAAGAUGUGCCCCAUCUCGGUGAAACCUUGUGGAGUUAGUAGAAAGUACAUAAGAUCUGUGUUUAGUUAUAAGGCAAGUUAUAAGAGCCAAGCCAUAUAAUAGUUGCCUUCUACUUAGCUAUAAAUAAGUUUUUUACUCUC